UUUAGAAUGCUCAAGGAAGACUUUAUUUUUUUAAAAAGACCUUGCAGAGUUCCAUUGGCUGACACCACAAAUCUUGGCUUCUUUUGAAUGGGAUGAACAGAAACAUGUUUAAGGUCUAAGGAUGCUACAUAUAUAAAAUGGAAAAGAAAGAUAAUUUUCAGCCAACUUUUUGAGAAUAGACUUAUUCAAAACUUAAAAAGACAACCAUGAAAUUGUCACACCAUUUUAAAAGAAUAGUAGCAUAAAGUCAUAAGACUGUUUUCCAAGCACCGCCUCCACUUGUGUUCAAGAAAAGGCAAAUAGCAAAUCCACAUUGUGAACAGCAAGCACUCUGCUUUGGGGAACCUUGUAAUUUUGCAAUCAGUUUUUACGUCCCAAGAAAAUGUACUGAUAGCAGUCAUUACCAGGGACGGCGGAGCCUGGUGGGCUGCCGUCUACGGGGUUGCAAAGAAUCGGACACGACUGACGUGACUUAGCAGCAGCUGCAGUACUAUCAGACAUGGUGCUUAAAAGGUUGAACGAUAUUUGCUGUAUGCUCUUGGGUGAAAUGGAAAAUUUAAGAGAAACUAUCAUGGUGAAAACAGUAGGAAUGAGAUACGCAGGCAAACAAGAAAAUGCAUCCAGCAUCAACCACACACUCUCCAUCCACAGAAAAGGCUAAAACUUACCAGUAUGGGCUACGUAAGAAUUAGGUUCAGAAGAUAAAAGUCACUUCCUACUCACCCAGAGGCUCCACCAAACUCCUUAGAGAAGGUUCCUGAGUUGAAAACUAACCACCUACUCACCUACAGCUGGUUACCUGUUUCUCUGGCACAUGGUAACUCACCUGUAGCUGGUUACUUAAUUCUGAUAGAGAAUAGCUACACGGCCUCCUGUCUCCUCUCCAUUCAAAUCUCUGGCUAAAACUGUUCUCACCAAAAAGAGCAAAUGCAAGGGUAAGUUUUUGUUUCUCUUUCUAGUAGCUGUCAAUUAACAUAUUAAAAUUUCACAAACUUCCUAAUUAUGUAACGAACUGAGCUUAUAUUUGAAAAAAAAGAAAAUCAAAACCUGAAACAACUAUAUAUAGGGCUUCCCCGGGUAGCUCAGGUGGUGAAGAAUCAGCCUGCAAUACAGGAGACCCAGGUUCGAUUCCUGGGGUGGGAAGAUCCCCUGGAGAAGGGAUAGGCUCCCCACUCCAGUAUUCUGGCCUGGAGAAUUCCAUGGACUGUGUAGCUGGUCUCCACAUUGCCUCCACCUUCCCUUGUAUGUUAGUUACAUGGAACUUGAAACAGAUUUCUUCUUCAAAGUAAAACUAAGUCUGUGGUAGGUGGGCUCCUUGACUCGACUGCAAAUCAUUUCAAUCCAUCGAGCUGCUGUACUAACUUGAGUUCAGGGAGCUGGGAACCACGCAAGUCAGAAGCUAAGGAGAAAACAUCUCUAAAAACAGUAAUUUUGGAAUAAGCACUGGAUAUUUGACCACUUCCAGCACCCAAGUCACAUCUGUCUACCUGGGCCCUAGGAAAGCAAGCUUGCCCUCGUGACUUCUUCACUUCUCAGGAGCCUGCCUGUUUUCCCCAGUGGACUCAGGCCAAACUUACAGACCUUCCCUCCACUUAAACCACAAAGAGCUGCUAAUCUUCAUUAGGCAUCUGUUUGAGUUACUGGACUCCCUUUUAACUCUCACAAAUGUGUAAAUGCGCUUUAACCGGCCCAUAAAUAUUUGCAUUUUGAGCGAAACAUACUAUCACCACCUAAAUUGAGGAUAUGUUUGGGGCAGCGGGGUGGAGGACAGUUGGUUUCUAGGGCUUGUUCACUUCUGAACCUGUUUGUGGAAAGCGCUAGAAUUUUUCAGAAGAGCAGGACAAGGGCAUGCAGGUGUGGGCCCUGGGGAGUUAAAUAUCCUGUUAAUAUCCUACAGCAGGGGAGCGAGAGCUUUGGCAGGGCUCAGAACCACCAGCACAGCUGGGAAACAAGCAAAUACUCAAACCCCAGAGUCAAAUUUAGUAUGUCAGAGUGGGGCCCAGAAAUCUGCACUUUU
ensembl:lncRNA